GGGUUGUGAGGUUAAGCGACUAAGCGUACACGGUGGAUGCCCUGGCAGUCAGAGGCGAUGAAGGGCGUGCUAAUCUGCGAUAAGCGCCGGUAAGGUGAUAUGAACCGUUAUAACCGGCGAUACCCGAAUGGGGAAACCCAGUGUGAUUCGUCACACUAUCAUUAACUGAAUCCAUAGGUUAAUGAGGCGAACCGGGGGAACUGAAACAUCUAAGUACCCCGAGGAAAAGAAAUCAACCGAGAUUCCCCCAGUAGCGGCGAGCGAACGGGGAGGAGCCCAGAGCCUGAAUCAGCAUGUGUGUUAGUGGAAGCGUCUGGAAAGGCGCGCGAUACAGGGUGACAGCCCCGUACACAAAAGCGCAUGUGCUGUGAGCUCGAUGAGUAGGGCGGGACACGUGGUAUCCUGUCUGAAUAUGGGGGGACCAUCCUCCAAGGCUAAAUACUCCUGACUGACCGAUAGUGAACCAGUACCGUGAGGGAAAGGCGAAAAGAACCCCGGCGAGGGGAGUGAAAAAGAACCUGAAACCGUGUACGUACAAGCAGUGGGAGCACCCUUUGGGGUGUGACUGCGUACCUUUUGUAUAAUGGGUCAGCGACUUAUAUUCUGUAGCAAGGUUAACCGUAUAGGGGAGCCGAAGGGAAACCGAGUCUUAAUUGGGCGUUAAGUUGCAGGGUAUAGACCCGAAACCCGGUGAUCUAGCCAUGGGCAGGUUGAAGGUUGGGUAACACUAACUGGAGGACCGAACCGACUAAUGUUGAAAAAUUAGCGGAUGACCUGUGGCUGGGGGUGAAAGGCCAAUCAAACCGGGAGAUAGCUGGUUCUCCCCGAAAGCUAUUUAGGUAGCGCCUCGUGAAUUCAUCUCCGGGGGUAGAGCACUGUUUCGGCUAGGGGGCCAUCCCGGCUUACCAACCCGAUGCAAACUGCGAAUACCGGAGAAUGUUAUCACGGGAGACACACGGCGGGUGCUAACGUCCGUCGUGAAGAGGGAAACAACCCAGACCGCCAGCUAAGGUCCCAAAGUCAUGGUUAAGUGGGAAACGAUGUGGGAAGGCCCAGACAGCCAGGAUGUUGGCUUAGAAGCAGCCAUCAUUUAAAGAAAGCGUAAUAGCUCACUGGUCGAGUCGGCCUGCGCGGAAGAUGUAACGGGGCUAAACCAUGCACCGAAGCUGCGGCAGCGA
rnacentral:rRNA from 1 species